rnacentral:tRNA from 1 species
AAGAUACUAGUAAAAUCUGUAUUACAAUGCCUUGUCAAGGCAUAAUUGUAGGUUAGAACCCUGCGUCUCUUG